AUCACAUUUGCUAAAUUUCAAAUUUCUAAAAAGCUACUGUGUCUAUGAUAAACUUUCCUGUAUUUCUUUGCUGUUUUUAAAGAUUAUCUUAGUGAAAGGGAAAAGCAUGUAGAGUGAAAGCAGAAAAGGUUGUGACAAUGUUGAUUUGCUUUUUCGUUCUUCAAAUGCCAAGUCCUAUAAUUUGUUUUCCUAUGCAAGCAUUGCAAAAAUACAGUUGCUUUCAGGAAUCCUAAAGUGGCAUUUUACUGAGUUUGAAGUAUUGAAGGUAUGGAGUAAAUGUGGUAAUAUAGAACUCCUAACACAAGUAUCUUGGAAGUUCAUAAAUAAGUUGAUUUCUAGGUUCUUGUUUAUUUGAAAAAUAAAAUUGCAAUUUGAGAUAAGUGCUUGAACACUCUACUUAAAUAUUUCUGUGUUUUACGAAGAAAUUGAUCUGCAUAGAUAUUUUCCCACUGUACUUCAUUUUCUCAUAAUGUACAUUCCCCUUUAACUGAAA
rnacentral:lncRNA from 1 species